CCUACGGGUGGCAGCAGUGGGGAAUAUUGGGCAAUGGAGGCAACUCUGACCCAGCAACGCCGCGUGAAUGAUGAAGGUCUUCGGAUUGUAAAGUUCUUUUUUAAGGGAAGAAGAAUGUGACGGUACCUUAGUAAUAAGCCUCGUCUAACUACGUGCCAGUAGCCGCGGUAAUACGGAGGAGGCAAGGGUUAUCCGGAAUGACUGGGCGGAAAGGGUGCGUAGGUGGUUUGACAAGUUAGUAGCGCAACUCCGGAGAUCAACUUCGGAACUACUACUAAAACUGUUGGACUUGAGUGCAGGAGGGGCAAUCGGAAUUCCUAGUGUAGCGGUGGAAUGCGUAGAUAUUAGGAGGAACACCAGUGGCGAAGGCAGAUUGCUAGACUGUAACUGACACUGAGGCACGAAAGCGUGGGGAGCAAACAGGAUUAGAUACCCUGGUAGUC
rnacentral:rRNA from 1 species